rnacentral:rRNA from 1 species
ACUAACUAGUCGACGGGGUCUAUCGCCUCUUCGGGGCAAGGGCCCCGGUCGACAAUGUCUUCUUAGAGGGAUGAGCGGCGAGUAUAGCCGCAGGAGACUGAGCAAUAACAGGUCUGUGAUGCCCUUAGAUGUCCUGGGCCGCACGCGCGCUACACUGAAUGGGUUAGCGGGUUCUCCUUCUCCGAGAGGAGCGGGAAAUCGCGUGAAAACCAUUCGUGAUAGGGAUUGGGGCUUGCAAUUGUUUCCCAUCAACGAGGAAUUCCCAGUAAGCGCGAGUCAUCAGCUCGCGCUGAUUAAGUCCCUGCCCUUUGUACACACCGCCCGUCGCUACUACCGAUUGAAUGGAUUAGUGAGGCCUUCGGACUGGCGGUCUCGGACUGGGCUCCGCCCGCCCGGCCCUCGCGGUCGGCGGCGGACCCGCCCUGACGAGCCGGAAAGAUGUCCAAACUUGUCUAUUUAGAGGAAGUAAAAGUCGUAACAAGGUUUCCCGUAGGUGAA